GCAGUCGAGCGGAAGAUGGGAGCUUGCUCCCUGAUGUUAGCGGCGGACGGGUGAGUAACACGUGGGUAACCUGCCUGUAAGACUGGGAUAACUCCGGGAAACCGGGGCUAAUACCGGAUGCUUGAUUGAACCGCAUGGUUCAAUUAUAAAAGGUGGCUUUUAGCUACCACUUACAGAUGGACCCGCGGCGCAUUAGCUAGUUGGUGAGGUAACGGCUCACCAAGGCAACGAUGCGUAGCCGACCUGAGAGGGUGAUCGGCCACACUGGGACUGAGACACGGCCCAGACUCCUACGGGAGCAGCAGUGGGA
rnacentral:rRNA from 1 species